rnacentral:rRNA from 1 species
CAAUACGGCCAGCAGCCGCGGUAAUUCCAGCUCCAAUAGCGUAUAUUAAAGUUGUUGUGGUUAAAAAGCUCGUAGUUGAACCUGGGCCUCGCGCAGACCGGUCCGCCUCACCGCGUGCACUGGUCCUGCCGGGGCUUUCACUAGGGGAUUCGCAUGUCCUUCACUGGGCGUGUGCGGAACCUGGACUUUUACUGUGAAAAAAUUAGAGUGUUCAAAGCAGGCCUAUGCUCGAAUACAUUAGCAUGGAAUAAUAGAAUAGGACGUGUGGUUCUAUUUUGUUGGUUAUGGGACCGCCGUAAUGAUUAAUAGGGACAGUCGGGGGCAUCAGUAUUCAAUAGUCAGAGGUGAAAUUCUUGGAUUUAUUGAAGACUAACUACUGCGAAAGCAUUUGCCAAGGAUGUUUUCAUUAAUCAGGAACGAAAGUUAGGGGAUCGAAGACGAUCAGAUACCGUCGUAGUCUUAACCAUAAACUAUGCCGACUAGGGAUCGGGCGAUGUUACUUUUUGACUCGCUCGGCACCUUACGAGAAAUCAAAGUCUGUGGGUUCCUGGGGGAGUAUGGUGGCAACGCUGAAACUUAAAGAAAUUGACGGAAGGGCACCACCAGGAGUAAACCUUUGCUACAAUUAUAUUUUCGAAAUGCCGCAGUAGCUCUGCUCCAAAAAGCAGCCCGAAAGGGUGAGGUGGUUUCAGCCCGGGUCGCCUCGUGCGGUCCGAAUCUAAAUGCUAGUCCGCCUCGGCGGGCGACACGCUCAAAUUGCGGGGAACUCCUAAAGCUCCAGCCACCAAGCCGCCGUGCGAAAGCCGGUGGCGGCCAGGUUAAUUGCCUCGGGUACGGUAAUAGUGCUGGAGAUGCUACAAUGGAUGAUCCGCAGCCAAGCCCCUAAGGCGCCUUGCGCUACGGGGAAGGUUCAGAGACUAGACGGGUGUGGGUCCCGCGGCCGCGGCCGCGGGGCUUAAGGUAUAGUCCGGCCGACGUCGAAAGGCGUCGGGGCCAGCUG